AUGCUUUUUGGGGCUUUUCCAACAAAGGCAAUGUUGAGGAUGUUGAUGACAGUGAAGAAGCUGCUUAGGCUGAUGAAGAUGGUGAUGAGGUCCCCAGUGCUGGUUACUUCUUCAGCACUGGGCACUGCCCUGGGUCCUUGUGACAGAAGAUGUUAUUUAAUCUUCUUGGUGACAACACACUGUAGAUGUACCUGCGGAAUAGACCAAUGGAGCUGGAGUCACCUGCCACCAAUUUGGGACAUCGUGCUAUGAAGCAUUCGAAAACGAACGAGGAAGCAGUACAAGCGUGAUAGACACCUUGCACUGGUCCUGUCAGCUUUGUGUUUCGCUGGAGAGCAACAGGCAGAUUCAAGGACCCGCCCACCUCUGGUGAAAAGGCAGGGAAGGUAUGGCUGCAUGUCCAGUUGUUCUGUUUGGUUUGUUUUGCUAAGUAGAUAAUCAUUUGUGAAUCUGCUGCUUUUCUUUCCCCCUCUUCUUGGCAGCCUUGCUUUCUGAGGCCUCCAGGCUGUCAUUCUUCAGGCACACCCUCUUCUAACAAAGCACUGGGAGGGCUCAGAAGAAAAAGGUUUACUGGAGUCAUCAGGAGGCUGCCGCAGAAAUCAGGAGAUGGCGAGCUAGAGAGUUUUAUUUUAUCGUCCCUGCACUUGAGCCUCAAGUACGCCUCGUAUAACUAUGCAAUUAAUCUUGACAUGUACAGAUAGGCCAGACUUCUAAACCUUAGAAGACACGCCUCAGCAAAAUUCUACAUGAUGUUAUCGUAGAAUAGCAUUGGAGAAGGCAGGGCAUUUAAAUUAUUAAGAAUAAUUGUAGUGUGUUUUUAUUGCUUCCAUGUUCUUCAUGGAGCCUUGUUGUUCUAACCCGGCUCUGUCUGCAUUGCAUUUGUUUUCUUUAUUUCUCCCCCCCCCCCAUUAUCUUGUCUUUCAGGCUUUUCCAAGCAUGGCUCCUCCAGUCUCCUCCAGGAAUUCACUGAGACUUAACCACCGUCUAUGCUAGAACAUGCUCCUUGCAGCUAUCCAAACAUCUCCUGAGCUGUUUACUCUGCUCAGUGCCAGCCUCUCCGCAGACUGACGUUCCUGCAAGAGCGGGGCUCCCUCCUUUGCCUGGGAAAUCUGCAAUGCAUUGUCUGGCACAUCUCAUCCUCUGAUAGAUUCUCAUAGGAUGGGGUUUAAACCUUUACCACCCCCUAUUAAUUAUACACUUGAGAUUUCUAUAGCUGGCAAAAAAAAAAAAAAGUCACUAAUAUGCUGUAAUCAGGCAGAGGGAGGCAGUGGCAUAUAAAUUGUUAAUUUAUGUAAAGCUACGCAUAGGGAAGAAAUUAUCCAGCAUGUGUGCACAAAGGUGAAAAUAUUAGCUUGUGUCAGUGCGUGCCAGUUGUGAAGCUUGACGCUGCCGCCAAGCCUCCUGGGGGUGGGUGGUGACGUGGUGACCAUGAGAUCAGUCCUCUGAGGCUUGUCAGAGAUGGCAGACUCCAGGCUGGGAGCUUCUUAGGUGUAUUUUACACUGUAAUAGGUGAUCCUUCCUUUCAUUUGAGAGAACUAUGCAUGAGAGCAACCUAAAUCUUGUCCGCAAUGGGUGGACGAGCCUCAGAAAGAUAUAUGGUCUUAGGUCACAAAACAUGUGUUCCUUGUUUGACACCCAGGCCCCCAGAUUCUCACCUGAAUAUCUCCGCCUCCCCCAUGCUUUAGCAGGUGCACCUUCCACUCCAUUCUCUUAUGUGAAUGAAAUGUACACAAAAUCUAUCUUCAGGAUUUGUUUUAUGAGACACACUUGAGGUGGAAGAUAUAUGUAUGUACAUAGUAUCUGACCUUAGAUACUGAGGGUUGAGUUAACUGUAUUUUCCUCUUCAGUUAGUGGUAGAGCACCCCCCCCCCCACAACCUGGUGGGCUGGACAGGGUCUCUUCCUUGUUUCCAUAAUUACUUAGUUAAUGACCACACUUGUUCCCAUCCAUCCCCAUCCCAUUCUCAACCCCACACCCAGCCCCACUGCUGGCAACUAUGUCUGCAUGUGUAAUGGGUCUAUUUUUGUUCAUCUGUUUUCUUGAAGAGUAUACAUCAUUUGGGGUUGGAGUGUUUUUCACAAAUAUAAGAAGGUAGCAUUUUAUCAGGCCUUUCAUUUGGUUCACACAGGAUCAUGUGUUUGGCUUCCACCUGUUCUUGGAUACUGUGUACACAUUACCUGUACCUUCUAGCUUGGGGGGGGAGUGCUCCGAGGUACCAAUUCUGUCCAGAAUUACCUCCCCUUUCUUCCAGCGUGGACACCUAGAUUGCUUCCAAUCUUCUGCUACCAAAAUAAAACUUUCAUAAAUAUCCUUGCA
ensembl:lncRNA